GAAGUGUAGUCUCACGCCUCACACAUACCGAAGGAAAAGGCUGCUCCCGCAAAGGCCACUGGGAAGUGUAGUCUCACGCCUCACACAGACCGAAGGGGAAGUCUGCUCCCACAAAGGCCACUGGGAAGUGUAGUCUCACGCCUCACACAGACCGAAGGGAAAGGCUGCUCCCGCAAAGGCCACUGGGAAGUGUAGUUCCAGACCGAGGCUCGUGCGAAACAGCCGUUCGGCUCCCGCUCGCCCUUCGAAGGACCCCGGCCUGUGGGCGAUCUCCACAGUGACAGAGCCUGUGUGGGGACUGUCCUGACCGCCUCCGUGGCCACCCUGCCGGUGAGAGGAUCCUCUGGGGGAAAAGGACUUUUCUUUUUACUUAGCAUGGAACCGAUUUGUUGGAAAUCCAGAGAAAUCUGCCCUUCCUGCAGCCAGGAAGCUGCAGCUCCAGAGGGGAACCAGUGUGGCCAACUCCUGAGAUUUUGUCACAAGUCUUGUCAUAUUUGGGGCUGUUCUUAAAGCUCCAGCUGCUGGCAUUGAAGAUUGUGAAAUCCAGGGGGUCAGAAACUGACCUGUACAAGCAGCAACAGCCCCUCCCAUCAGAGAGAAGGACCCCUCAGGCACCUGUUGGGUUACAGAGAGACCAACAUAGUUAAUCUGUGCAGAGCAGGAUCCUGCAAGCCAUGCAGACUACUCCACAGGCAAUUCCUCAUUUCAGCUACAAGAGUGAGCUGCUUCCGUCACCAUCUCAGUGAAAUAUCUCUGAUGCUUGUUG